GUUAAAAUAUGGGCUUAGUGAGUUUUUAUUUUUAGUAAUUAAAGUCUCAAAAUUAUUUAGAGUGUCGCGAGCUUGAAUUGAAAACUUUCUUUUAAUCUAAACCCUGAACGUAGGAUGCAUACCUCAUGUAAGAUCAUUGCAUGCCAUCUUUUAUGAAUGUUCUUACGACUAAUUGAAUUAAUACCCUCUUUCAAGAAGGGCGUGUUCAAGGAGUUGAUUUUCGAAACCGAGCUUGAGAAGGGUAUUUUUGGAAGAAUCGAGGUUGAGCUGAUGAUGAAAUGGUGGCUGAGUGGAGUUGGUGGUUGUCUCACAUCUUUUGUAGGAUUUUCUGUGGCAUAUGUCUUCACACAUAUCGCCGUGUUUUGCAACUUCUUCCGUUGUGCCUCGUUGUAAUAAUUUGUACUAAAUAGGUCACAAGGACAAUACUUUGUUUGAGAUGACGCUCCGCAAACUCUCUUUUGGAUUGUAUAAUCCUUCAUAUUGUCUUAUGAACCUUUUCUGUCUUA